rnacentral:lncRNA from 1 species
GCGGAUGACAUGACAUAACUUUAGGUGGAAAUGGAGGCAGUUUACCUCCACCUGAAGCAAGUCCAUUUUCCAUAGUUUGAAGCAUACAAUUGCUACCUGUUGGGUAGUUAUUUGAGAAAAGGAAGCCUUGUGGGCAGGAGAGCACUCUCUAUAGGAAGCCUGUCAUCUGCCUGAAGCAGGACAAGUCAGGACAAGUUUCAGAAGAUAAGCAUGUAGAGAAGACAGGAUGAGUGUGAGCUGUUGAAUGGCGAUUUGGUUUUUUUCUGAAGCAGUUACUAUUUGCCUUUUUAAGGGAAAGAGUCCCAGAAGUUUUCAGCCCUCACCUGAGGACACCGGUCCCAGAGCCACAGUCAAAGCGGAACUCCACGUGGCCCCCUGCCAAGUUGAUGGACAGGAAGUCUUUGCUGCCUGUGUCAUAGCUGUACAGGAGGACACCAUCUCCUGAGUCUGGCCGAAAUGUGAUCUCAAAUUCCAUGAAGGAAAGUGUCGACCUUUAAACCCAAGGGGACAGAGGCAAAUGUAGGAGUCGGCUUUGAUUGCUGUGCAGGUGCCACCAUGGAUGCACGAGGCCUCAUCACAGAUUCCACUGCUGCAUUCCCCUAAAUACAGAAUGGGAAUUACAAAGCCAAUCCUCCAUGUGUGCCAGUCCAACACAGUGGCGCUGACCCCACCAGCAGCUCAUGGUUCUGAAUAAAUACAUUUCAGUUCUUACUCCUGUUGAUUUGCAGCUCUGCACAACUGCAAAUGGGCUUUCAGGAUAAGUGGAACCUGCUCUUCAUUUUAAUUUGAUUUUGGUUUGUCCUGUAUGAAGAGCCAUAGAGACUUUAAAAAACAUGAUGGACACAAUAAAUCAA